rnacentral:rRNA from 1 species
AGUGAACGCUGGCGGCGUGCCUAAUACAUGCAAGUCGAACGGAGUGGCGCACGGGUGAGUAAUAUAUAUCUAAUCUGCCCUUCACUAGAGGACAACAGUUGGAAACGACUGCUAAUACUCUAUAGUGUAGGAUGAGGCUAUAUUGUAUCAGCUAGUUGGUGAGGUAUUGGCUCACCAAGGCUAUGACGCAUAACUGGUCUGAGAGGAUGAUCAGUCACAGUUGAAGUGAGACACGGGUCAGACGCCUACGGGAGGAAGCAGGAGGGUAGCUGGCUCAAUGGGCGAAACCUUGAAGGAGCAACGGAGCGUGGAGGAUGACACUUUUCGGAGAGCAAACUCCUUUUGUUAGGGAAGCGGUACCUAACGAAUAAGCACCGGCUAACUACGUGCCAGCAGCCGCGGUAAUUC